CAAGUACUCCCUCCGUCCGGAAUUACUUGUCAUCAAAAUGGAUGUGUCUAGAACUAAAAUACAUCUAGAUACAUCAAUUUCAAUGACAAGUAUUUUCGGACGGAGGGAGUACAAG
rfam:Triticum urartu cultivar G1812 contig120964, whole genome shotgun sequence.